rnacentral:rRNA from 1 species
GAGGAAUUGGCGGGGGAGCACCGCAACGGGAGGAGCGUGCGGUUUAAUUGGAUUCAACACCGGAAAACUCACCAAGGGCGACUGUUACAUAAAGGCCAGGCCGACGACCUUGCCGGAUUUUCAGAGAGGUGGUGCAUGGCCGUCGUCAGUUCGUACCGUAAGGCGUUCUCUUAAGUGAGAUAACGAACGAGACCCUCACCGAUAAUUGCUACUUCUUCCUCCGGGGAGGAGGCACAUUAUCGGGACCGCUGGCGCUAAGCCAGAGGAAGGAGAGGUCAACGGUAGGUCAGUAUGCCCCGAAUCUCUUGGGCUACACGCGCGCUACAAAGGGCGGGACAAUGGGCUCCGACGCCGAGAGGCGGAGGCAAUCCCGAAACCCGUCCGUAGUUCGGAUUGAGGGCUGUAACCCGCCCUCAUGAAGCUGGAUUCCGUAGUAAUCGCGAAUCAACAACUCGCGGUGAAUAUGCCCCUGCUCCUUGCACACACCGC